rnacentral:rRNA from 1 species
AUUGAACGCUGGCGGCAUGGCUAAGACAUGCAAGUCGAGCGCGAAAGUCCCUUCGGGGAUCAGUAGAGCGGCGAAAGGGCGAGUAAUGCGUUCCUACGUGCCCCUUGGUCGGGGAUAGCCCGGGGAAACUCGGAGUAAUACCCGAUGUGGUCCACGGAUCAAAGGCUUCGGUCGCCAGGGGAGCGGGGAACGUCCUAUCAGGUUGUUGGUGAGGUAAAAGCUCACCAAGCCGAAGACGGGUAGCGGGUGUGAGAGCAUGACCCGCCGCAUCGGGACUGAGACACUGCCCGGACUCCUACGGGAGGCUGCAGUAACGAAUAUUCCGCAAUGCGCGAAAGCGUGACGGAGCAAUGCCGCGUGCAGGAUGAAGCCCUUCGGGGUGUAAACUGCUGUCAGGGUACAGGAACUCAAUGACCAUACCCAAAGGAAGGGCCGGCUAACUUCGUG